ACGCUGGCGGCGUGCCUAAUACAUGCAAGUAGAACGCUGAAGGAGGAGCUUGCUUCUCCGGAUGAGUUGCGAACGGGUGAGUAACGCGUAGGUAACCUGCCUGGUAGCGGGGGAUAACUAUUGGAAACGAUAGCUAAUACCGCAUAAGAGUAGAUGUCGCAUGACAUUUGCUUAAAAGGUGCAAUUGCAUCACUACCAGAUGGACCUGCGUUGUAUUAGCUAGUUGGUGGGGUAACGGCUCACCAAGGCGACGAUACAUAGCCGACCUGAGAGGGUGAUCGGCCACACUGGGACUGAGACACGGCCCAGACUCCUACGGGAGGCAGCAGUAGGGAAUCUUCGGCAAUGGACGGAAGUCUGACCGAGCAACGCCGCGUGAGUGAAGAAGGUUUUCGGAUCGUAAAGCUCUGUUGUAAGAGAAGAACGAGUUUGAGAGUGGAAAGUUCACACUGUGACGGUAUCUUACCAGAAAGGGACGGCUAACUACGUGCCAGCAGCUGCGGUAAUACGUAGGUCCCGAGCGUUGUCCGGAUUUAUUGGGCGUAAAGCGAGCGCAGGCGGUUAGAUAAGUCUGAAGUUAAAGGCUGUGGCUUAACCAUAGUACGCUUUGGAAACUGUUUAACUUGAGUGCAAGAGGGGAGAGUGGAAUUCCAUGUGUAGCGGUGAAAUGCGUAGAUAUAUGGAGGAACACCGGUGGCGAAAGCGGCUCUCUGGCUUGUAACUGACGCUGAGGCUCGAAAGCGUGGGGAGCAAACAGGAUUAGAUACCCCUGGUAGUCCACGCCGUAAACGAUGAGUGCUAGGUGUUAGACCCUUUCCGGGGUUUAGUGCCGCAGCUAACGCAUUAAGCACUCCGCCUGGGGAGUACGACCGCAAGGUUGAAACUCAAAGGAAUUGAC
rnacentral:rRNA from 1 species